UACAGAGGGUGCAAGCGUUAAUCGGAAUUACUGGGCGUAAAGCGUGCGUAGACGGUUGCGUAAGUCAGAUGUGAAAGCCCCGGGCUCAACCUGGGAAUGGCGGUGGAUACUGAGGAGCUGGAGUACGGUAGAGGAAGGUGGAAUUCCCGGUGUAGCGGUGAAAUGCGUAGAGGUCGGGAGGAACAUCAGUGGCGAAGGCGGCCUUCUGGACCAGUACUGACGCUGAGGCACGAAAGCGUGGGGAGCAAACAGG
rnacentral:rRNA from 1 species